rnacentral:SRP_RNA from 1 species
ACCGGGGACCUUGAGGAAUAAAGAUCUUCGAACCAGGUCAGGGUCGGAAGACAGCAGCCUUAAGAAUCAAUCUUUAAAGCCUUGAGAUCAUCUCCGGUAAU